rnacentral:rRNA from 1 species
UACGGGGGGGGCAAGCGUUGUUCGGAAUUACUGGGCGUAAAGGGCUCGUAGGCGGCCAACUAAGUCGGAUGUGAAAUCCCAGGCUUAACCUGGGAACUGCAUCCGAUACUGGAUGGCUUGAAUCCGGGAGAGGGAUGCAGAAUUCCCGGUGUAGCGGUGAAAUGCGCAGAUAUCGGGAGGAACACCAAUGGCGAAGGCAGCUCGCUGGACGUUACUGACGCUGAGACGCGAAAGCGUGGGAGCAAACAGG